ensembl:lncRNA
GGGGGCGGGGGGUGGGGGAAGAUACAGAAUUAACGUUAAAAUAGUAACAUCAGCCUGCAGUGAUUCACCAGUGUGUGUAUCUUUGGAGGGCUAAAUUAAGUAGAACAUUCUGGUGACAUUCUUUUUCUUUAUUCUAACAGCAUUCUUUCUCCCUUUUAAAAACAAGAACAACAAAACAAGCUCUGGCCCUCUUCAUGAAAGCCUAAUGCAGGACUCUGUUCCCUUGAACUCUAGAUAAAGUUUGAAGUUUGUAAUUUAAAAUGUGAAUGCCAAGAUAACAUACAUGUGGAACUUUACAGUUAGCGUUGCUUGUCAAUGUCCCCUGCGAUGUUAGCUUUGGGCACACCUUACAGCUUGCUCUGUGAAAGUGCGAACUAAAAAUAUGUUGGCUCAUCAGUCAUUUGAGUCUGGAAACAUUUAAAUAAUUAAGCUCCAAAGCCAGCCAGUAUCAUAGAAUGCUAUGACCCCAGAGACGUCCUGGGCCCUGAGGGUUCCACAUCAAAAGAUUAUAAAAAUAUCCCCCAGCCCCAAGUAAAUGUGGCAUAAAACCCCUCUAUCUAGUAAAUGUAGCACAAAACCAUUUUCGUUUCAUGCCAAAUAAAGCUAGAAUAUCAGAAGCCCAUCACCGACCCUCCUUUUUUUCCGCCUAAUUAGCCUUUCCUGUGUUACUUGACAUCCUUACCCUUGUUCAUGUAUAUUUCAGUGUCCAUCAUCUAAUUGGACUUCUUACUGAGCGACAUCAUUCUUUGUCCGUCUAUAUUUUGCAUCAAAUGCGUCACACCUUAUAAAGGCUUCUAAAUGUGUUCUUACUAUAGGAUUCUAAAAUUAGCUUGCUUCUGAAAACCUGAAUUGAAAAUGUAACAGAAAAAAAGACCAGUUUUAGAAAGCUGUACAUUAUUCUUAAAAUCAUUAUAUAAUAGUCUUCCUUUCAGAACUUCUUCCCCUCAAUCCCUAAAUGAGGUGUUUGCAAAGAAAGUCCGCUAAAACCAGCAGAUUGGAAAAAGAGAGCCCCGAGUCAAAAGUCCCUACAGACAGAAUUCUCGCUACUGACAGCCUGCAGGCUUCAUGUAAGGUCCCUCCAGAGUGUCCUAAAUGUGUCUCCGUCUGUCUGCCUCGGUGAUUAUCCUCAAGGAAUUCUUUCCAGCCUUUUAUCUUAUGCCAGGCCCAGGCUUUGGAAACUCAGAAGUCAAGAAUUGACCUCACUGGCCUCUGCCUUCGGCUGUCACCCUUUCCUUAGGAAGUGAAGGCAGAAUGCCCCAGCUGCCUGCACCAAAGGCGAUGUUGCAAGGCACAAAGAGUUACAGGAAAAAAGAAAAAGAAAAAUCUGCUACUAUUUCAAAAUACUAUCUCCAAAAACAUACAUAAAAUUAAUAUAAGAAAUGCUGUCCUUCAUCUACCAAUAUGACGACAUUGGCCAAUCAGCCGUAGUAUAUAGAUGAGUUUUUCUGGGAGCAGGUAUGGAUUUGUUCCACUUUGUCCAUGGCCUCAGCUCACCCAACUGGUGACCAGCACAUACCCUGGCAAGAUGCCCCCCUGGGUCCUGGGGACUGGAUGAGGCCACACAAUGGAACAACUGUAUCCACCCACACCAAGACAUCAUAACACUGUUCUUGCGACCAGUCUUCCCACAGUAACCUCAGCAAAUAAGACACAAGGCUUUUUCUUUCUUAGAUCUUCAGAAAUAGCAUAUAAGACAGCUUGUUCCCAUAACUGACAAAAUAAGCAAACACACAAAUAAGUAAAUAAAUAGAAAGUCGUUGAACUCCCUGAGUGCAUGUACACCUAAAGGGCUUACUGAAUGGUCGUUGCUUGGGGGUAUUUCCUUCCUUUCUGUCUUCAAUAGCACCCACUUGUAUUCAUAGAUGCCUACUGACUGUGCAAUCCAGAAUACUGUAAUUAGCUUUCUAACACUGAUUUCCUAUUAAGGUACAUAAAUAACAAGAGGGAGGUGAAAUGCUAGGCUCCUCUUGAAUAGUGUCUUAAAAUAACAGAAGG